GUGGGGAAUCUUAGACAAUGGGCGCAAGCCUGAUCUAGCCAUGCCGCGUGAGUGAUGAAGGCCCUAGGGUUGUAAAGCUCUUUCAGCUGGGAAGAUAAUGACGGUACCAGCAGAAGAAGCCCCGGCUAACUCCGUGCCAGCAGCCGCGGUAAUACGGAGGGGGCUAGCGUUGUUCGGAAUUACUGGGCGCAAAGCGCGCGUAGGCGGACUGAAAAGUUGGGGGUGAAAUCCCGGGGCUCAACCUCGGAACUGCCUUCAAAACUAUCAGUCUGGAGUUCGAGAGAGGUGAGUGGAAUUCCGAGUGUAGAGGUGAAAUUCGUAGAUAUUCGGAGGAACAUCAGUGGCGAAGGCGGCUCACUGGCUCGAUACUGACGCUGAGGUGCGAAAGCGUGGGGAGCAAACAGGAUUAGAUACCCGAGUAGUCC
rnacentral:rRNA from 1 species